CCUCUCACUUCACCUUCUCUGCAGAAACCCUAGAGACGCCGCCUUGAAACCCUCUGUCGGCGGAGACGCCUCAGACCAUCCCAAACACCACCAAUUUAACACCCUAGAUUCCCCGUCACCACCUCUUUUAUAAUAUCCAAACCGAUUCCCUCAAAUCCCCGCAUAGGUGUUCGAAUCUUAGAUCUAAACUCUGACCCCAAAAACCCGAAUUCAACCAAACCACCCCAAAACUAUACCCCACACUCUUCACACUCCUCUGAAACCUAAACUACCAUCACCUUCCCAAAAAACCCCACCCGUUUGUCCCAAUUUGGAAUCUGGUUCCAAGAAGAAAUUGAAAACCCUAUUUUGCUUCCCUUCUGAGUUCAAGAGGAUUUGAGGAUUGAUUUGGGGUCAAAAUUUAUGCCAGAUGAUUGUUCUUAUCAAGAGCAAUUGAUUAGUACCAAUUCUGGCACAUUUCAAAGUUCACCAAAGUUCACAUAUCAUCAAGAACCGGCAAACUUUGUUCAUACAUGCAAUAGGUAUUUAUUUUCAUUUCCUCUUCCCAUUUUUAUCCUUCUUCUCUUCGUCACCUUUUCUCUUCUACAUCACUUUGGUUUCCCCUCAUUUUUUCUGUUUCUUUGAUCAACAAAUGAAGCUUUAGGUUUUAGAUUUUGUUCUAUUCGUAUGUUUAAUCAGUAGUGUUAAGGCUCAUUAGUGUAGGCAUCUUCAUCAAAGUUCAAGUGUUCCAUUUCUUUGGCUGGGUUUUGUUUUUGUUUAAUUACAUGACUUAGAUUUCGGAUUUUAAGUUUGUUAAUUAGUUUUUUUGCUUAAUCUUUAAUAAUAGUCAGUUAGUUUAGGGGUAAUGUUUGAGUUUGCCAUAAGGUCAUUAGGGUUCCAGUUUUCAAUUUGGGUUUAUUUUGUGUUUAAUGCAAUUGAAAUCAGCAUGUUAGUAUCAUUUGAUUCCCUGUUAAUUGGCUGGUUUAAUUGCUUCAAAGGUUGAAAUAGGGCAUUCAUUGGUUGUUUCUUCCUAAAUGUCAGUUUCAAUUGCUCAAUUGUUGGUUAAUUUCUUAUUUCAUUUCAUGUUAAGUCUAUUUAGGUUUUAGAAAUUGACACCAUUUGAUUAUGUUUGCCUAUGGUUUCUGUUAGAAGAUUGUUUGCCUUGGUUUGUAAAUGCAUAGGACUUUUAGAGGGUUAAUUGAAUAACUAGGAACUUAAGGGGGUAAUUUGGGGAUUGUUAACCUGAGAGAAUAUUUAGUAACUGAUUGGAAAGCUUCUUAAAAUGUACAGGUGCCCAAAAUUGUUAGCAUAAGAGGCUAAAAAAUGAAAAUAUCUGAAAGGAAAGGGGCAGCUGUACAUAAGUCAGUUUUAAAAGAUGCCCUAUGAGAGGUAUUGGAAAAAGAACCUAUUUCCUUGACUUGGAAGGCACACAACAGAUUUCUGUUGUAUAAAUAAGGCUUUCCCCUCACUCUUCAUAUACGAAAAACAGACCUGAAAAUCUUUUCAAAAAAAAUCUCUCAAAUAGGAGGCUUUUCUCUUAUUCUGGGUGAAAAGAAAAAAAAAGAAAGAAAGAAAAAACUGAACAAUCUUGUUGGUAUUUCUGGGUUUUUGGAGUUCUUAUUACUUGAGGCUGAAGCUGUUUGCUGACUAUUUGCUUCCUUGCUCUCUAUUUGUCGAAGUAGCUGUGUUUUAUUUGAUAUUUUGGAGCAGAAUUUCAGGCACUAAGGUACACAUCAUGGCCUUAUGCCAAAAUACUUUUAAUCUUGACCUCACAUGAAUGCUAGAAGUGUUGUUUGAAUGAUAGAGUGUAUAUCUAUGUUGAUUCUUGUUUCAUAUGCUUGAAAACAUGCUUUUCUUGUGCUUCAAAUACCUUAGUUGAUAUCUGUUAGGCUUGAGCUCUAAGUACACUGUUUUUUAUCAUUCAUGUCUAACAUUUUGCUUUAUGGUUUGAGUUGUGAGUAUUGGCCAGGGGUCAGCAUGUGUGAAGUAUGGCUCUUGUUGGAUUUGAUCUCAACAUAAUCAGAUCCAUGAGAGUUAGAAGCUGAAAUUGAUAUUAUUCCUAUGUGGGAAGAGCUGGCAGCUUAUGGAGGAUUACAAUCUAAAUGUAGAUUUGGUUUUAGUGGUGUUGAGUAAUUUUGUUUGUUAUUUCAUAGGACAAGGCUUAUUAAUCUCCAUUUACUAGUUAUUUGUUCUUUAAUGAUUCAAAAUUUUGUUAAAAUAGUACUGAGCUUACAUGUAAAUUAAUGUUAUGUGUAUAAAAAGUCGUAAGGGUCAGAGGUGAAUGCUUCAGUUAGUUUAUUUGGUGUUUAAACAUGCUGGUAAUACCAAAUGAGUUGUAUAAUGAUUUAGGUACUGUUGACUUUUCCAGAUUUUGCCUCUAUGUUGUUUUGCCAUGUUUGGGCCUAAUGCCAGGCCCAAGAAUAUUCACCCCAUCCCUUUUUCUUUUCCUUGCACUUUUUGUUUAAUGGAUUGGUUUGGC
rnacentral:lncRNA from 1 species